AGUGAACGCUGGCGGUAGGCCUAACACAUGCAAGUCGAACGGCAGCACAGUAAGAGCUUGCUCUUACGGGUGGCGAGUGGCGGACGGGUGAGGAAUACAUCGGAAUCUACUUUUUCGUGGGGGUUAACGUAGGGAAACUUACGCUAAUACCGCAUACGACCUACGGGUGAAAGCAUGGGAUCUUCGGACCUUGCGCGAUUGAAUGAGCCGAUGUCGGAUUAGCUAGUUGGCGGGGUAAAGGCCCACCAAAGCGACGAUCCGUAGCUGGUCUGAGAGGAUGAUCAGCCACACUGGAACUGAGACACGGUCCAGACUCCUACGGGAGGCAGCAGUGGGGAAUAUUGGACAAUGGGCGCAAGCCUGAUCCAGCCAUACCGCGUGGGUGAAGAAGGCCUUCGGGUUGUAAAGCCCUUUUGUUGGGAAAGAAAAGCAGCAGGUUAAUACCCCGCUGUUCUGACGGUACCCAAAGAAUAAGCACCGGCUAACUUCGUG
rnacentral:rRNA from 1 species